rnacentral:rRNA from 1 species
UACGGAGGGUGCGAGCGUUGUCCGGAAUCAUUGGGCGUAAAGGGCGCGUAGGUGGCGGGACAAGCGUGCGGUGAAAGCCUGGGGCUCAACCCCGGGUCGGCCGUGCGAACUGUUUUGCUUGAGCACUGUAGAGGCAGGCGGAAUUCCGGGUGUAGCGGUGGAAUGCGUAGAGAUCCGGAAGAACACCGGUGGCGAAGGCGGCCUGCCGGGCAGUAGCUGACACUGAGGCGCGACAGCGUGGGGAGCAAACAGG